ACGGGAAUUCUGGCGAUAGCAAUAUUGCCGGGAGGAGAGUGGCGGAAGGGUGAGGAACACGUGGGCAAUCUACCUUCAAGAUGGGGAUAACCCCGCGAAAGCGGAGCUAAUACCCAAUGUGGUCUCCCGGCGCAUGUCGGGAUGAUUGAAGGCGGGGAUCCUUCGGGACCUGUCGCUUGGAGAUGAGCCCGCGUCCCAUCAGCUAGUUGGUGAGGUAAUGGCUCACCAAGGCUUACGGGUAGCUGGCCUGAGAGGGUGGUCAGCCACACUGGGACUGAGACACUGCCCAGACUCCUACGGGAGGCUGCAGUCGAGGAUCUUUUGCAAUGGACGAAAGCCUGACAGAGCGACGCUGCGUGGAGGAUGAAGGCCUUCGGGUCGUAAACUCCUGUCAUUCGGGAACAAGUGCUGACGGGUGAAUAAUCCGUCGGUUUGAUGGUACCGGAAGAGGAAGCCACGGCUAACUCUGUGCCAGCAGCCGCGGUAAUACAGAGGUGGCGAGCGUUGUUCGGAUUUACUGGGCGUAAAGGGUGCGUAGGUGGUCUCGUAUGUCGGGCGUGAAAGCCCACCGCUCAACGGUGGAACGGCGUCCGAAACUGCGAGACUUGAG
rnacentral:rRNA from 1 species